rnacentral:tRNA from 1 species
GGCAGUGCGGCACAACGGGUAAGGAGUCGGUCUCGUAACCUGAGGGUCGCAGGUUCGAUUCCCCUGCCGUUGUAC